ACUCCCACGUACACACAAAACAAUACCACAUUCUUAUUUUAUAUAAAAAUACGGAAAAACUUCAAAAACACCGUUGUAGUUUUAUACUUUUUUUAUUUAGUAUCAUGUGAUUUAAAGUAUAUCAAGUUAGUACUCUAUGGUUUCGCACUUGCUCACUUUAGUACCUUGUGGUUUCGCACUUGCUCACUUUAGUACCUUGUGGUUUAAAGUGUAUCAAGUUAGUACUAUAUGGUUUUAUUUUUAUACCAAGUUAGUACCCUGCGGUUUUGUUUUUGUAUGAUCCUAUGGUUUUAUUUUUCUCUUAAUGAAAUGUUAAACUAUAGGGUACUAAAGUCAGAACGUGCGAAACCACAGGAUACUAACUUGAUACACUUUAAGUUACAUGGUAUUAAAGCGGGAAAAUGCGAAACUACAGGGUAUUAACUUGAUACACUUUAAACCAUAGGGUACUAAAGUGAGAAAGAGUGAAACUAUAAAGGGAGUAUUUAAAGUUUUUCCUAAAAAUAUAAAGAUAUGGUCAGCUCCUCGUUUAAAUUUUUGAACGUAAAUAGUUAUCUAUAGACAUACAUUAUUCUUUCUAAGUUUCUUACAUGGGAACACUCUUUUUAUUAUUGAGUGUGAGCUCCAUUCAAAACUGGCUCAAGUUCUUUAUAUAUUUUUUCUAUGCUUGAAUUGAACCUGAUUUUUCUCUUUCUUUACUUAAACUGAACCAAUCAUUGUUGAGUGUGGGUUCACCCGAACCGACUUAAAAUUUUCAUAUGUUUUUCUCUUUUUUUGUUUGAACCAAAUCUAAUUUUUCUUUGUCUUGCUUGAACUGAAUCGGGUCACACCUCUGCACUGGACCGAGCUGUUUCUCUUCCACUUUUUUUGGUUGUUAUCUUUCUUUAUUGGCAAGAUGAAUUACAUCCCUUAUCUCAUUUCUUCCAUCGCCAUUUUCUCUUCUUUUAUUGACAUUUUUUAUUUCUUUUCUAAUUAUCUACCCGUUCUAUCGCACAGAUUACUAUACUAGUUUUACAUCAUUUACAUUAUAUAUAUAAUACUAUAUAUAAAAGUGUAUAGAAAUUCCGACAAUGACAGACGGAAUCCAAAAAGGAAUAAAAGAAUAUUCCCUAUAUUUCCAACGAACGGAUAUGAUCACUUAAUUAAAAAAAUCUCAAAUAAGAACGAACGAUUAUGAUUAAUCGGAUAAAAAAUAGCAUUCUUAUUCAUCUACAAAUCCAAUCCUACCAAUGGUUGUGUCAAUAAAAAAUGAACGGUUCGCUUAAUUAAAAAAAAUUUUAAAUAAGAACAAACGGUUAUGAUUAAUCUGUUAAAAAAUAGCAUUCUUAUCCAAAAAUUUUAAUUAUAAUGGAUCAAAUUAAAUUUUAAAUUUUAAAAUAAAUAUGAAUUAAAUUUUGAUGUUUUUUGUUUAAAACACAUAUUUAAAUUUUAACUCAUCAGAAAUCAAAAAAUAUAUAAAAAUAUUUAAUAUAUAUAAAAAAAGAAAAUAUAAAAUAUUACAAUUUUUUUUCUAAUAAAAUAUAACAUAUGAAUUUAUAAAUUAUAAAUUUUUAAAUAAAUAUAAUGUGCAAAUUUAUAUUGAUUUAAAAUAAAUUAAAAUAAUUGUUACGUGCAUUUGCACGUAUACUAAAAUAGUAUAAAGGCACAUUAAAAAAAAAGAAAAAAUUUCAGAUGGGAUUAAAAUACCUCUUUAAUUAUGACGAAGGCGGCAAAUACGAAAAUGUAUCGGCACAGGCAAUGAUGAUGAGUAGGACGAUGACGAUGUACCGCUGUGACAAAUGAAAAAAUAUAUUACUAAAAAAAUAUUUGAGAAAAAUAUAGAUAAAAAGAAAAAUUGAUACUACUAAAAAAUAAAUGAGAAAAUACCAAAAAAGAUAUGCUAACGAAAAAGAUAUGAUGUAUAUAUUGUGUAAUAAAUAUUAUGAUGAAAUAAGAUUGGGUAGUGUAGAUAUUAUAUGCGAGGGUAUUAAGAUAUAUUC
rnacentral:lncRNA from 1 species